UACGGAGGGUGCGAGCGUUGUCCGGAAUCACUGGGCGUAAAGGGCGCGUAGGUGGCUCGUGAAGCGUGCGGUGAAAGUCCGAGGCUCAACCUCGGAUCGGCCGUGCGGACUCGCGGGCUCGAGCGUUGUAGAGGCGGGUGGAAUUCCGGGUGUAGCGGUGAAAUGCGUAGAUAUCGGGAGGAACACCUGUGGCGAAAGCGGCUCACUGGACCACAACUGACGCUGAGGCGCGAAAGCUAGGGGAGCAAACAGG
rnacentral:rRNA from 1 species